rnacentral:siRNA from 1 species
UGGCGUACUGCGACACUCUAC